GCCCGUCCCCCUUCCCGUGGGAGGGCGUCUGACCCCAGGCACUCGUUGCUCACCACGGCAGCUCCAGGACACCAGCACAGAGCCUUGAAUCCCUAAUGCAGCAUCUAGAAGGGCCAACCAGGGCUCCCGCUCCAGACAGCGGGUGGGGCCCUCUCCCCCCAUGGCAGAUCCUGAUGAAGGAGGUUUGUUCGGCCCCUUCUCACUUCACCUGUGGCCACUAGAUGCUGGGCAGUCUCUGGACCAGGCCUCUCCACUGGCAGAGCUGGUGUGGCAGGCAUCUCCUCUCCUCACACUGGCCUGGCUUUCCUGCCCAGCCCUUACCCCGCCCGCCAGCUGUGGGCUGCCCCUCUCCGUGCUCCUGAGGGCUGAGAAUGUGGAUGAGCUGAAUGGAGGGGAGGGGGGCAGGUUCCUGUUCUUUCGACGGGUGGCUCCACACUUCCUUUUUUGCAAUAAAGGCCCCUCUCUGCCCGAGGAUGCUGUGUCUGGCUGGGGGUGGGGCCAGCUCUGGCUCCUCCCAUUUGGUCUUGCCAGGUACCCCAUAGGAGAGGUUUCAGUCCCAGGAAAGCCUGGGCCCUUCUCUCCAGCCUGUCCCCUUCACAGCCUCUGCCCCUGCAGCUGGUCCCCUUGCCUUCCGCGCCUCCAGUUCUCCCGGAAGGUUCAGAGAGGUUCUGCCCAGCCAGGAGCCGCAGGGCAACACCUGAAACGGAGCCAAUUGCAGCCUCCUUCAUUUUCCAGCUGGAGGCAUGGCCUGUGGAGACUACAGCUCCCAGCAUGCCCUGCUCCAGCGUCAUCUCCACAGGGGGCCGAUGGCACCGCAGGUGCUCCAGGGGUUGCAGUUCUGCACUGAAGACGAGGCGGCCAUGGGCUGGGCUGUAGGGUGCCAGUUCCUGAGAUAACAGGCCUUGGGCUUCGUGCCCAGCGGUGCAGAACUGGGCGGAGAGUCUGGGUGCCAACCAGCCCCGCCCUGAGGCAGGGAAAUCUUUGAUUUCUUCUCUGCUGGGAGUGGCCGAAGCCCCAUAAGCAGCGGUGCGUCAGCCAUGCCGAUGGGCACACAGCCUAGGGGGUGCUUCGAAGCAGUUUCUGAAGCGGUAACUGAUGUUUAAGGAAGGGUUCAGCCGUUGCUCGGUCUGGCGGGUUGCUUAGCCCAUGCAGGGCCUGAGGGCGGCUUGCCUCCGUGCCACGCUGCCCCCUCUGCAAGGCGCUUAGAGCCUCAUCGGGCCUGGAGCGGCCCUCCGCACUAGCUCGUGCGUGCAGCCUGUCCCUUACACUGCGUCCCCAGCACUAGGGGGCGCUGCUGCACAGCAGCUUUGGAUCUGCAGGCGGGGGCACUA
rnacentral:lncRNA from 1 species